AGCGAACGUUUGCGGCGGGCCUAACACAUGCAAGUCGAACGCACUAGCAAUAGUGAGUGGCGCACGGGUGCGUAACACGUGGGUAAUCAACCCUUCAGCCUGGGAUAACGACUCGAAAGGGUCGCUAAUACCGGAUACGGCGCGAGAGGCUUCGGCUUCUCACGAGAAAGCCACGCAAGGGGCACUGAAGGACGAGCCUGCGGCCCAUCAGCUAGUUGGUGAGGUAAGAGCUCACCAAGGCUAAGACGGGUAGCUGGUCUGAGAGGAUGAUCAGCCACACUGGAACUGAGACAUGGUCCAGACUCCUACGGGAGGCAGCAGUGGGGAAUAUUGCGCAAUGGGCGAAAGCCUGACGCAGCCACGCCGCGUGAGCGAUGAAGGCCUCGGUCGUAAGACUCUGUGGGAGGAGACGAAGAAAGA
rnacentral:rRNA from 1 species